UUACAGAAUGAUUCAUUAUCUGGAAAUCCCCAGGUCCCUGUAUAUAAUGGGGGGGGGAGUAUUUAUCAAACAAUGAAACAAAGCCUGGCACAGAGUAAUUCUGCCACUUUAUAUUAACUUGUAUAGGGGUGUUUUUAUCAAAAGGUCAAAAUGAAAGGCCACUAACAACCCCGUACAAAUGAAUAGAGAGCAGCAUAAUUUCCCUCUGGCCAUCUGGGGUGGGCUCUCUUUCACCUUUUUAUAAAUAUGCCUAAUAAGUGAUCACAGAUUCCAAUUUGAGAAGUUCAUUUUUAUUUAUAUAAAAUAAUAUUUACAAUCAGCACCAGUAGCUUCUAGCUGAGCUAUGUUUUUUUACCCCUUAUUGCCGGGAAAUAUUGCAACUUUAGACAGUCGUUCAUUUUUAAUGUAUUCUUUUAUUGAAAUAUCAGAAAGGUACACACAAAAGAAUAAAAUAAUGAUUUUAUAGAAGAAUUACUGUUGGCAAGACGGGAUCACAAUAUCAUUUUUUAUACAUUUAAUAAUAAUCAUCAAUGUAAUGUGCCUGAUCAUUUCCAUAAUAAAAUAACCCUUAAUAAUAAUAAAUACGUGACUAAUGCUGUCACCAUGUAAGCUUUAACAAUGCUGCUUUGUGGGUCGUCUUAGGAUACCUGUAUAUGUAAGCAAAGUAAGAAAGAUAUUUCCUUUAGCAUGGGAAAUAUAUCCAAAAUAUAGCACUGCCGGCUUAUGAAAGAAUAACGUGUUCUCAAAGGGCAGAAAACCUUGGACUAAAACCUAAGCAGAGUUUAUGCAGUAAUAAGCAAUCAGAGGAGGCAUUCCCAUAGUUAAAUACAUGAAUUAACAUUUCCACUGCUAGCCACUCUAUUGUAAGAAAUUGCAGUCUUUAUUUUGGUAUUAAAAGCAUUUUUUCAGGGAACUUACACAAAGCCCCAAUUAUGAUAACAAAGGGUUUCCUGUGACUACUAAGUCCUACGUCUGCUGUGGGGACCAUAAAUCAAUUUACUGUAUGUGAGAAAACUUGCUCAACAGGAUGAAGCCAAGUUGGGGGUUUAUCACAGCAUCUUGGCAGUUGGGAGGGUUUCUGUGGGGGGCAGGUGAGAACCCAGGAUAAAAAGAACGCUGGACAGAGGAAAAGGAGCUGGGCAGCUGAGAGGAGGAAGGAGAGAGCUGGAGAAGCCAGGAGCCUGGGACAAGACAACAUGUGAGGAAUGAAGACCAGAGGGGAAGGCAGAGAUGAAGCUGAACUCUAUUCCCCUGCCUUUUUGUGAGAGCUGGGAGCUUGGGGAAUUAUAUCAGAGAGUCGGUUGCACUGGCAGAUACAUUAGAUAACUUCAACAAAAGGCUGGAUGCCUUCUUAGCUAGAGAAAAUUCAAGGUGAUUGAUCCAGGGAUUCUUGGAAUCAGGAAGAAAAGUUUUCCUCCACUGACCCAACAAGAGAUUGCUUAGCUGAUCCAGAAAUUAACAAAAUAAACAGUUUGAACUUGAGAGACUCAAUGAUGUUAUUUUCCCUGAUCUAUUUCCAAAAUAGUAUAAAAAUUACCAGAAAUGUACUUCUUCCUGUGAACAUGUACCGUACUCAUU